AUUGAACGCUGGCGGCAGGCCUAACACAUGCAAGUCGAGCGGUAGCACAGAGAGCUUGCUCUCGGGUGACGAGCGGCGGACGGGUGAGUAAUGUCUGGGAAACUGCCUGAUGGAGGGGGAUAACUACUGGAAACGGUAGCUAAUACCGCAUAAUGUCGCAAGACCAAAGUGGGGGACCUUCGGGCCUCAUGCCAUCAGAUGUGCCCAGAUGGGAUUAGCUAGUAGGUGGGGUAACGGCUCACCUAGGCGACGAUCCCUAGCUGGUCUGAGAGGAUGACCAGCCACACUGGAACUGAGACACGGUCCAGACUCCUACGGGAGGCAGCAGUGGGGAAUAUUGCACAAUGGGCGCAAGCCUGAUGCAGCCAUGCCGCGUGUGUGAAGAAGGCCUUCGGGUUGUAAAGCACUUUCAGCGGGGAGGAAGGCGGUGAGGUUAAUAACCUCAUCGAUUGACGUUACCCGCAGAAGAAGCACCGGCUAACUCCGUGCCAGCAGCCGCGGUAAUACGGAGGGUGCAAGCGUUAAUCGGAAUUACUGGGCGUAAAGCGCACGCAGGCGGUCUGUCAAGUCGGAUGUGAAAUCCCCGGGCUCAACCUGGGAACUGCAUUCGAAACUGGCAGGCUAGAGUCUUGUAGAGGGGGGUAGAAUUCCAGGUGUAGCGGUGAAAUGCGUAGAGAUCUGGAGGAAUACCGGUGGCGAAGGCGGCCCCCUGGACAAAGACUGACGCUCAGGUGCGAAAGCGUGGGGAGCAAACAGGAUUAGAUACCCUGGUAGUCCACGCUGUAAACGAUGUCGAUUUGGAGGUUGUGCCCUUGAGGCGUGGCUUCCGGAGCUAACGCGUUAAAUCGACCGCCUGGGGAGUACGGCCGCAAGGUUAAAACUCAAAUGAAUUGACGGGGGCCCGCACAAGCGGUGGAGCAUGUGGUUUAAUUCGAUGCAACGCGAAGAACCUUACCUGGUCUUGACAUCCACAGAACUUUCCAGAGAUGGAUUGGUGCCUUCGGGAACUGUGAGACAGGUGCUGCAUGGCUGUCGUCAGCUCGUGUUGUGAAAUGUUGGGUUAAGUCCCGCAACGAGCGCAACCCUUAUCCCUUGUUGCCAGCGGUUAGGCCGGGAACUCAAAGGAGACUGCCAGUGAUAAACUGGAGGAAGGUGGGGAUGACGUCAAGUCAUCAUGGCCCUUACGACCAGGGCUACACACGUGCUACAAUGGCAUAUACAAAGAGAAGCGACCUCGCGAGAGCAAGCGGACCUCAUAAAGUAUGUCGUAGUCCGGAUUGGAGUCUGCAACUCGACUCCAUGAAGUCGGAAUCGCUAGUAAUCGUAGAUCAGAAUGCUACGGUGAAUACGUUCCCGGGCCUUGUACACACCGCCCGUCACACCAUGGGAGUGGGUUGCAAAAGAAGUAGGUAGCUUAACCUUCGGGAGGGCGCUUACCACUUUGUGAUUCAUGACUGGGGUGA
rnacentral:rRNA from 1 species